rnacentral:rRNA from 1 species
AAAUGAAUAGACGGGCACCCGCACAAGCGGUGGAGCAUGCCGUUUAAUUCGAAAAUACGCGAAAAACCUUACCUAGGCUUGACAUCCUCAGCAAAGCUAUAGAAAUAUAGUGGAGGUUAUCUGGGUGACAGGUGGUGCAUGGUUGUCGUCAGCUCGUGUCGUGAGAUGUUCGGUUAAGUCCGCUAACGAGCGCAACCCUUAUCUUUAGUUGCUAACAUUUAGUUGAGAACUCUAAAGAGACUGCCGAUAAUAAAUCGGAGGAAGAUGGGGAUGAGGUCAAAUCAUCAUGCCCCUUAUGUCUAGGGCAACAGGCGUGCUACAAUGGCUGGUACAAAGAGUCGCAAUACCGUAAGGUGGAGCUAAUCUCUAAAUCCAGUCUCAGUUCGGAUUGAGGUCUGCAACUCGACCUCAUGAAGUUGAAAUCGCUAGUAAUCCCGGAUCAGAAUGCCGGGGUGAAUACGUUCUCGGGUGUUGUACACACCGCCCGU